rnacentral:rRNA from 1 species
AACGAACGCUGGCGGCAGGCUUAACACAUGCAAGUCGAACGCUCCGCAAGGAGAGUGGCAGACGGGUGAGUAACGCGUGGGAAUCUACCUAGUUCUACGGAACAACAGAGGGAAACUUACGCUAAUACCGCAUACGUCUUACGGGAGAAAGCGGGGGAUCGAAAGACCUCGCGCGGCGGGAUGAGCCGAUGCCGGAUUAG